rnacentral:rRNA from 2 species
GGUGAGUAACACGUGGGCAAUCUGCCCUGCACUCUGGGACAAGCCCUGGAAACGGGGUCUAAUACCGGAUACUGACCCGCUUGGGCAUCCAAGCGGUUCGAAAGCUCCGGCGGUGCAGGAUGAGCCCGCGGCCUAUCAGCUUGUUGGUGAGGUAAUGGCUCACCAAGGCGACGACGGGUAACCGGCCUGAGAGGGCGACCGGCCACACUGGGACUGAGACACGGCCCAGACUCCUACGGGAGGCAGCAGUGGGGAAUAUUGCACAAUGGGCGAAAGCCUGAUGCAGCGACGCCGCGUGAGGGAUGACGGCCUUCGGGUUGUAAACCUCUUUCAGCAGGGAAGAAGCGAAAGUGACGGUACCUGCAGAAGAAGCGCCGGCUAACUACGUGCCAGCAGCCGCGGUAAUACGUAGGGCGCGAGCGUUGUCCGGAAUUAUUGGGCGUAAAGAGCUCGUAGGCGGCUUGUCACGUCGGUUGUGAAAGCCCGGGGCUUAACCCCGGGUCUGCAGUCGAUACGGGCAGGCUAGAGUUCGGUAGGGGAGAUCGGAAUUCCUGGUGUAGCGGUGAAAUGCGCAGAUAUCAGGAGGAACACCGGUGGCGAAGGCGGAUCUCUGGGCCGAUACUGACGCUGAGGAGCGAAAGCGUGGGGGAGCGAACAGGAUUAGAUACCCUGGUAGUCCACGCCGUAAACGGUGGGCACUAGGUGUGGGCGACAUUCCACGUCGUCCGUGCCGCAGCUAACGCAUUAAGUGCCCCGCCUGUGGAGUACGGCCGCAAGGCUAAACUCAAAGGAAUUGACGGGGGCCCGCUAAGCUGUGGACCAGUGGCUUAUUCGACGCACGCCAAAACCUUACCAAGGUUGACAUACACCGGAAAGCAUCGAGAUGGUGCUCC